rnacentral:tRNA from 1 species
ACUUGAAUAGCUUAUGUAUAAGAGCACGACACUGAAGAUGUCGAGGAGGCAUUUUAUGCCUUUAGGUA